UGCAUUCACUACUGUAAGUCGCUCUGGAUAAGAGCGUCUGCUAAAAAUGACUCAAA
rfam:Salmo salar isolate Sally breed double haploid chromosome ssa26, whole genome shotgun sequence.